rnacentral:rRNA from 1 species
CCGGCUAACUACGUGCCAGCAGCCGCGGUAAUACGUAGGGCGCAAGCGUUAUCCGGAAUUAUUGGGCGUAAAGAGCUCGUAGGCGGUUUGUCGCGUCUGCUGUGAAAUCCCGAGGCUCAACCUCGGGCCUGCAGUGGGUACGGGCAGACUAGAGUGCGGUAGGGGAGAUUGGAAUUCCUGGUGUAGCGGUGGAAUGCGCAGAUAUCAGGAGGAACACCGAUGGCGAAGGCAGAUCUCUGGGCCGUAACUGACGCUGAGGAGCGAAAGGGUGGGGAGCAAACAGGCUUAGAUACCCUGGUAGUCCACCCCGUAAACGUUGGGAACUAGUUGUGGGGUCCAUUCCACGGAUUCCGUGACGCAGCUAACGCAUUAAGUUCCCCGCCUGGGGAGUACGGCCGCAAGGCUAAAACUCAAAGGAAUUGACGGGGACCCGCACAAGCGGCGGAGCAUGCGGAUUAAUUCGAUGCAACGCGAAGAACCUUACCAAGGCUUGACAUAUACGAGAACACUUCAGAAAUGAAGGACUCUUUGGACACUCGUAUACAGGUGGUGCAUGGUUGUCGUCAGCUCGUGUCGUGAGAUGUUGGGUUAAGUCCCGCAACGAGCGCAACCCUCGUUCUAUGUUGCCAGCACGUAAUGGUGGGAACUCAUGGGAUACCGCCGGGGUCAACUCGGAGGAAGGUGGGGAUGACGUCAAAUCAUCAUGCCCCUUAUGUCUUGGGCUUCACGCAUGCUACAAUGGCCGGUACAAAGGGCUGCAAUACCGUGAGGUGGAGCGAAUCCCAAAAAGCCGGUCCCAGUUCGGAUUGAGGUCUGCAACUCGACCUCAUGAAGUCGGAGUCGCUAGUAAUYGCAGAUUCAG